UCUGUUCUUUAUUACGUCUCUCGUACGUCCAAGCUUUGUUCUCUUGAGUCCUACUUCUUCAUCGUUUGAUACUGAAAGACGUGUGCUAUUUCGUUCAUCCUAAUCUGAAAUUAACAGGUUAUGGGCCCAGAGUUAAAUAAGUUUUUCCGACAUGUCUGACUCCAAAUCCAAACUAAGUCACAUAGAGCAAUUUAACGGCACUAACUUCCAGCUGUGGAAGUAUAAUUGCUGGCUAAUUCUUGAACAAAACGAUUUGCUAGACAUAGUAGAGGGAAAGUCAAAGGAACCUGAACCUCAUGCAGUAUCUGGCUCGAUCACUAACUCCAAAGAGAUCAAAAAGU